GGUGGCGAUUAUACUGGGGUUGUCCCACCUGUUCCCAUUUCGAACACAGAAGUGAAAUACUCCAAGGCCGAUGGUAGUGUGAUGAACGCGAGAGUAGGUAGUCGCCACCU
rfam:Parcubacteria bacterium GW2011_GWA1_33_6 TR46_C0024, whole genome shotgun sequence.